AGGACGAACGCUGGCGGCGUGCUUAACACAUGCAGGUCGAGCGGAAAGGCCCUUCGGGGUACUCGAGCGGCGAACGGGUGAGUAACACGUGAGUAAUCUGCCCCUAGCUCUGGGAUAGCUCCGGGAAACCGGGAUUAAUACCGGAUACGACCACCUUAGACAUCUUUUGUGGUGGAAAGAAUUUCGGCUAGGGAUGAGCUCGCGGCCUAUCAGCUUGUUGGUGGGGUAACGGCCUACCAAGGCGACGACGGGUA
rnacentral:rRNA from 1 species